UCCCAGCUCUCCGGACAAUGGACAGUUGUCCAUUCAGGUGGAGGAGCUCUGGUGGAUGAGGAUUCAGGGCUCACUUGCAAAAGCCCUUGAAGAGCCGGCCAAUCAGUGAAUAAGGCAUGCCCUCCAGUGAAGGCAGCCAGUUGGUGAUUAUUUUUCAACUCUCAGCUUGGCUUGUGACAUCAGGGGCUCCUGCUAACCUCAUUGGCUGGAGGUUGCCAUGACAACCUCCAGCAUCCUUGGUAGUCUGGACCACAGGGCUGGAAGGCUCUGUUCCAAAUCCCUGGCAAGUGACUGGAUUGGAUGGCUGGCAGUGUGGGAACAGCGAGGAUCUCACUCGUUUGGAUGUGUCAGCAGGAAGAGACACUUCCCGUUAAGGCAGAAUUAGGGGGCAAGACUCGAAAAGUGGGGUUCAAUCCUGGAUCACAGUGGUGCUGAUACCUGCCGUGUUAGCAGCCUCCGUUCCUGUGGACAAACUGCCAAUCCACCAUCUCAAAGCUCAAGGCAGUGAACAUACCGAAGACUCCUUCGUCCCUACAACAACAAGCUUGUGAGACAGGUCAGCAACAGGGAAGAAACGGCCCUACAGUGAAUAACCCCG